CGCGUAGGCGGGGGACCAAGUCCGGGGUGAAAUCUUUCGGCUCAACCGGAAAACUGCCUUGGAUACUGGUCUUCUUGAGGGAGGUAGGGGCAGGUGGAACUUCCGGUGGAGCGGUGAAAUGCGUUGAUAUCGGAAGGAACGCCGGUGGCGAAAGCGGCCUGCUGGAUCUCUUCUGACGCUGAGGCGCGAAAGCUAGGGUAGCGAACGGGAUUAGAUACCCCGGUAGUCCUAGCCCUAAACGAUGGGUACUAGGUUGCGGACCUGACAUGGGUUCGCAGCCGAAGCAAAAGUGUUAAGUACCCCGCCUGGGGAGUAUGGUCGCAAGGCUGAA
rnacentral:rRNA from 1 species